rnacentral:rRNA from 1 species
ACUGCUCAGUAACACGUGGAUAACCUGCCCUGCGGUGGGAAAUAACCCCGGGAAACUGGGGAUAAUGUCCCAUAGACUACGGGUACUGGAAUGUUCUGUAGUUCAAAGAUUUAUCGCCACAGGAUGGGUCUGCGGCCGAUUAGGUAGUUGUUGGGGUAACGGCCCAACAAGCCUUUGAUCGGUACGGGUUGUGGGAGCAAGAGCCCGGAGAUGGAUUCUGAGACACGAAUCCAGGCCCUACGGGGCGCAGCAGGCGCGAAAACUUUACAAUGCGGGAAACCGUGAUAAGGGAACUCCGAGUGUCCGUAAAUGCGGACUGUCCGUAUGUUUAAAAAGCAUGCGAAGAAAGGGCCGGGCAAGACCGAUGCCAGCCGCCGCGGUAAUACCGGCGGCUCGAGUGGUGGCCACUAUUACUGGGCUUAAAGCGUUCGUAGCUGGGUUGUUAAGUUUCUUGGGAAAUCUACCGGCUUAACCGAUAGGCGUCCAAGGGAUACUGGCAAUCUAGGGACCGGGAGAGGUGAGGGGUACUUCAGGGGUAGGAGUGAAAUCCUGUAAUCCUUGGGGGACCACCUGUGGCGAAGGCGCCUCACCAGAACGGCUCCGACAGUGAGGGACGAAAGCUGGGGGAGCAAACCGGAUUAGAUACCCGGGUAGUCCCAGCCGUAAACGAUGCGCGUUAGGUGUAUCGAUGACCACGAGUCAUCGAGGUGCCGAAGGGAAACCGUGAAACGCGCCGCCUGGGAAGUACGGUCGCAAGGCUGAAACUUAAAGGAAUUGGCGGGGGAGCAC